AGAGCGCGUCUGGGCAUUCAGACCCAGCGGUCCCCUUUCCUACUUGGCCAGACGCGGCCGCGCCUAACUGCGCUCUGUCGGCCACCUGCGGCCCCGCGGCCCUGACCCCGCGGCGCGGAAUCUGGGUUAGGAAGCCGGCGAGGCAGGUGGCAGGGGGCGCGGCUCCGAGGAAGUUGUGAGCCAGGAGCCCGGCCACGUGGAGUCUCAGAUCUUCUUUUGGUUUCCUUUCGACAAGCAGUUACUGGAUGUCUGGGUGUUGGCGGAAGUGUGAUGGAUAAUUCGAGACAUCGGAAUACAGAGUAGGAGGAAGGCGUUAUAAACCGGCCCCGAGGACACAGCUUCUGCUUCCGCUCCAUGGCUGGGCGACACACCGGAGUGGCUCUGGGUCUCUGUCUCUGCAGCGGAAGGAAGAUUGCAAGAUGUCAGCCGAGGGCCAAGCAGGUGGAAAAUAAGUCGUGUUAUCUGUCUGGCGGUUGAUCUCGCCAGCCCUGGGCUCCACUGCCAGAGGGUCACACCUGCAGCACACAGACAUUCCCAGACUGGGGUUUAAUGGGAGCUGCAGCUGCUGGCUUACACCACAGACACAGCCACUUGGGAUCCGAGCUUCAUCUUCAACCUACACCACAGCUCACGGCAACGCCGGAUCCUUAACCCACCGAGCAAGGUCACAUCCUCAUGGAUACCAGCUGGGCUCGUUACCGCCGAGCCACAAUGGGGACUCCAUUAAGGAUCUUUUAUGCGACAUCAAUGGCCAAGCUGGGAAUUUGGGGUGUAAUUUCUGCAGUUCACCGGGAGUGAUUCCCGACGGAUGGUUGUUGUGUUGGAAGAGAAAGGGCAGAAAUGAGAUGUUUAGAACGAAGAAUAGGAUAAGGUACUCAGUUCCCAGCAGGAGAACGAGAACAAUUUCUUCAGCUCUCUCUGUCUCUCUUUGUGACCUAAAAAAGUUAGUGGUCAGAGACGAGAGGCCGCAGAGCAAGGGCUCCUCAGCUGUCUUCCACCCGAGCAGUUUGUCAGUCCCCAGAGUGGUGCAAAGUGUGUUCUUUGCAUAUGAACCAAACCUGACAACGAGAAAGGGAGACCAGAGGUCCAGCCCGUGUUUGCACAUUUCACGGCCGAAGUGACCUGGCUGGAUGCUCACCUGCGUCCGGGGCAGGAAGCAGCCUGCGUGGGGGAGGGACUGAGUUGACUGUGCAGGAGUGGACUGGACAGGCAGUGUGCGAAUCCACUGGGUCGGAACAGCUUCUUUGACACCAUCGGCUGCAAAGACCCAACCAGGAUGUCAUUCUCCAGUGAUUUGAGCUGUGGCAUUCCUUCCUCCACUCGUAGACAGUUUCAGAAAAACGUGCCACUCACUCCCUGCCUGCGCAAACACGGGGCCGUGCUGUCACCAGAGAGCGCUGAUCUGAGCAUCAGGAGAACAGAAUCCUCAGGUCCGAAGCUCACUCGCUGUGACUGGCCGUGGCCUCGUCCCCUCAGCUGUCAAAGGAGGAGGUGGACUCUGGAAGCUGUAGGUCUCAUCGCCCAGCGUUCUACCUCGUCUUAGGGUCCCUGAACGGCCCCCGCCCCGCUCCCCAGCUUUCCCACGGUCCCUUGCUCCUGUCGCCGCAGGCACCCGGCCCCUUCUCUGUCCCUGUGUCCUCCAUGGCACCGACUCCUCCUUUCUCGACCUUUCUGAGAUCCGCCCUGGGGCAGCCCCCUCCCGAGCCCCCCCAGAACUGCUGGGAUGGCUUCAUACAUUUAUCACCAAAUCCAGGUUUUAUCCAACACAAAGAUUCAAGGCCACAAAUGGGUCUGGGAUUCGCUGACUUCGGGGUCUCGGAGGAGCACGGCGGCUGGCUCUCUCCCUGGAGCUCUACCCAAGAAGCCAGGGGACAGCGGAUGGAGCCCGGACUGGAGAGCGGAAAUUGUGCGCCACCUCCGGCGCAGCGGGGUCCAGGGUGGGAGAGCCCGGCUGCUGGGGAGCGGGUUGCGGGAGAGCGUUGGCGUUACAGUGUCGCCCUGUCCCCUUCUCUUCUCCAACUUUGCUCACUCUUUUUUUUUGGGGGGGGGGCGUUAAGAACAGUAACAGCCGCAGCUUGGAGCCAAAGGUGAGGAGGUGCAUUAGGACGUCCCAGAGCCUGGCUGGGGCGAGGCGUCAAGGAGUGACAGGUGCGGAGAGAUCAGGAAUGCCCUGAACCCUGCCCUGUGCUCCGCUGGCCGGGCCCAGCCGGUGGGGGCCGAUCGCCGACGGUGGAAGCGCCCACGUGGGAUCUUUACCUGCUGCAAAUGGGGGAGGGGCUGUCGAACCCAGGAGAUCCUUCCAAACCCCUAGCCCUACUGCUCAUUCCUAAAUUUAGGAAGAGGCUCAAAAGCUAGGACUCUGGCUUAAAAAAAAAAAAUCUGAUUUACUAAUUUAUAUAAAACGAAAUUGACUGGCGUUUUGACAAAUGGGUACGUUUUGUAACCACUAAUAUAAUCAAGAUAUGGAAUAAUUACAUCACUUCAAAAAGCUCAUUAAUGACCCAUUACAGAAUCCCCCUCCCCUCCCCCUCCCUCUCAGACCCCACAGUUAGAUCCCCUCUCUAUAGUUUUGCCUUUGCUGAAAUUCUACAAUUUCAUACAAAUAGGAUCAGAUGACAUGGCUCCUUUGGGGUCUGGCUUCUUUCACUGAGCGUGGUACGUCUGAGAUUCCUCAGCGAGGGGAUGGGUGCUUUGUUUCUUUUCAUUGCUGAGGGGUCUUGUGUUGUAUGGAUGCACUAGAAUUUGACUAGCCAUUCAGUUGACAGACUUUGGAAUGGUUUACCAGUUUUGGGCUAUUACAAAUAUGUUAUAUGCAAUGUUUUCUCUUUUGCAGGGGGUGGAGGGUUAAAUAUCUAGGAGCCAGAAAGCUGGGUCAUACAGAAAAUAUAGGUUUACCUUUAGAGUUUCGGCUGUGGCCCUGUGGGUUAAGGAUCUGGCAUUGCAGCAGCUGUGGUGUUGGUUGCAGCUGCAGCUUGGAUUUGAUCCCCUGCCUGGGAACUUCCAUGUGCAGGUGCAUGCCAAAAAAAAAAAAAAAAAAAAAAAA
rnacentral:lncRNA from 1 species